rnacentral:lncRNA from 1 species
AAACUGGCAUAACACCCUCCUCCAAAAUAAUCUGGUGCUCAUACACAUCAACUGGAAUUCCUUUCAAAUCCGCAUAUGACCCUACAAAGGAAGAUUUAUGACGGACGAAAAACUGUUUCCAAGCAUCCAAUUCUAUAUCGAUAAUAUCGGCAUAUAUUUUAAUUAGCUGUGGUGUUUCGUUGGUGCCCAGGUUAAUGGAUUGACACACAGGGUCUUCAACAACCUCUGAUUUAA